rnacentral:rRNA from 1 species
CCUACGGGUGGCUGCAGUGAGGAAUAUUGGUCAAUGGACGAGAGUCUGAACCAGCCAAGUAGCGUGAAGGAUGACUGCCCUAUGGGUUGUAAACUUCUUUUAUAAAGGAAUAAAACGAGGCACGUGUGCCUUUUUGCAUGUACUUUAUGAUUAAGGAUCGGCUAACUCCGUGCCAGCACCCGCGGUAAUACGGAGGAUCCGAGCGUUAUCCGGAUUGAUUGGGUUUAAAGGGAGCGUAGAUGGGUUGUUAAGUCAGUUGUGAAAGGUUACGCCUCACCCGUAAAAGUGCAAUUGAUACUGGCAGGCUUGAGUGCGGAUGAGGUGGGCGGAAGUCGUGGUGUAGCGGUGAAAUGCGUAGAGAUCACGAAGAACACCGAUUGCGAAGGCAGCUUACUAAACUGUGACUGACAUUGAUGCGCGAAAGCGUGGGUAUCAAACAGGAUUAGAUACCCGAGUAGUC